rnacentral:rRNA from 1 species
ACGAACGCUGGCGGCACGCUUAACACAUGCAAGUCGAACGAGAGAAGAGAAGCUUGCUUUUCUGAUCUAGUGGCGGACGGGUGAGUAACACGUGAGCAAUCUGCCUUUCAGAGGGGGAUACCGAUUGGAAACGAUCGUUAAUACCGCAUAACAUAAUUGAACCGCAUGAUUUGAUUAUCAAAGAUUUAUCGCUGAAAGAUGAGCUCGCGUCUGAUUAGCUAGUUGGUAAGGUAACGGCUUACCAAGGCGACGAUCAGUAGCCGGACUGAGAGGUUGAUCGGCCACAUUGGGACUGAGACACGGCCCAGACUCCUACGGGAGGCAGCAGUGGGGAAUAUUGCACAAUGGAGGAAACUCUGAUGCAGCGAUGCCGCGUGAGGGAAGAAGGUUUUAGGAUUGUAAACCUCUGUCUUCAGGGACGAAAAAUGACGGUACCUGAGGAGGAAGCUCCGGCUAACUACGUGCCAGCAGCCGCGGUAAUACGUAGGGAGCGAGCGUUGUCCGGAAUUACUGGGUGUAAAGGGAGCGUAGGCGGGAUCGCAAGUCAGAUGUGAAAACUAUGGGCUUAACCCAUAAACUGCAUUUGAAACUGUGGUUCUUGAGUGAAGUAGAGGUAAGCGGAAUUCCUAGUGUAGCGGUGAAAUGCGUAGAUAUUAGGAGGAACAUCAGUGGCGAAGGCGGCUUACUGGGCUUUAACUGACGCUGAGGCUCGAAAGCGUGGGGAGCAAACAGGAUUAGAUACCCUGGUAGUCCACGCCGUAAACGAUGAUUACUAGGUGUGGGGGGACUGACACCUUCCGUGCCGCAGCAAACGCAAUAAGUAAUCCACCUGGGGAGUACGACCGCAAGGUUGAAACUCAAAGGAAUUGACGGGGGCCCGCACAAGCAGUGGAGUAUGUGGAUUAAUUCGAAGCAACGCGAAGAACCUUACCAGGUCUUGACAUCGUAUGCAUAGCUCAGAGAUGAGUGAAAUCUCUUCGGAGACAUAUAGACAGGUGGUGCAUGGUUGUCGUCAGCUCGUGUCGUGAGAUGUUGGGUUAAGUCCCGCAACGAGCGCAACCCUUACUGUUAGUUGCUACGCAAGAGCACUCUAGCAGGACUGCCGUUGACAAAACGGAGGAAGGUGGGGAUGACGUCAAAUCAUCAUGCCCCUUAUGACCUGGGCCUCACACGUACUACAAUGGCUGUCAACAGAGGGAAGCAAAGCCGCGAGGUGGAGCAAACCCCUAAAAGCAGUCUUAGUUCGGAUUGUAGGCUGCAACCCGCCUACAUGAAGUCGGAAUUGCUAGUAAUCGCAGAUCAGCAUGCUGCGGUGAAUACGUUCCCGGGCCUUGUACACACCGCCCGUCACGCCAUGGGAGUCGGUAACACCCGAAGCCUGUAGUCUAACCGCAAGGAGGACGCAGUCGAAGGUGGGAUUGAUGACUGGGGUG